rnacentral:tRNA from 1 species
GCCGGUGUGGCUCAGUGGUAGAGCGUCAGCCUGAAAGGUCUCGGGUUUGAUUCCUGGUCAAGGGCA